AAUGAAAUACUCARUCUGGCCUGCCCACUAAAUUUUAAAGGGCUGCGGUAAUUUGACCGUGCAAAGGUAGCAUAAUCAAUAGUCUUUUAAUUGGAGGCUUGAAUGAAAGGUUUGACGGGGGGAAGACUGUCUUUUUAGUUUAAAUUGAAGUUAACAUUUGUGUGAAAAGGCAUCAAUAAUUCAAGGGGACGAUAAGACCCUAUAAAAUUUAACAUAUAAAAUCAUUUAUCAGAAUUGGUAGAUAAUGGUUAGAUGAUUAACUAUGUUUUGCUGGGGCGGCAUGAAUAUAAAUUUAACUGUUUAAGAAAUGUAAUAUUUAUUAAUAGAUUAUGGUCCUUUAUUAGAGAGUUAAGAUUAAGUUACUUUAGGGAUAACAGCAUAAUUUCUUUUGAGAGUUCUUAUCGAAGAUAGUAGUUGUGACCUCGAUGUUGAAUUAAACUUUCCUUUGGGUGCAGGAGCCCAUGAGGAGGGCCUGUUCGGCCUUUAAAUGUUU
rnacentral:rRNA from 1 species